rnacentral:pre_miRNA from 1 species
AAUCUCUGCCCACAACGGGUUCACAGUCGAGAGGGAUGUGAUUAUAGUAGGGCUCUAGUCUGUAAACUCUAACUCUAGACUGUAAACUCGUUGUGGGCAGGGAAC